ensembl:piRNA 21ur-10548 ncRNA
UUUAUUCCUUCCUUUUGAUCC